rnacentral:rRNA from 1 species
UACGGAGGAUGCAAGCGUUAUCCGGAAUGAUUGGGCGUAAAGCGUCCGCAGGUGGCUGUGUAAGUCUGCUGUUAAAGAGCAAGGCUCAACCUUGUAAAGGCAGUGGAAACUACACGGCUAGAGUGCGUUCGGGGCAGAGGGAAUUCCUGGUGUAGCGGUGAAAUGCGUAGAGAUCAGGAAGAACACCGGUGGCGAAAGCGCUCUGCUAGGCCGCAACUGACACUGAGGGACGAAAGCUAGGGGAGCGAACAGG